AUACCUAAGUUACUUCAAGAUGCUAUAUCACAGACGAGCAGGAAUAUUAGAAUAAGGCGAAAUAUAUAGAUAAUGGUUAUUCCAUUUUCAAAUAUUGCCACGCUGUACUAUUAUUUCUGCUCGCCUCCCGUAGGGGAAAUCGAAUGAAGGUA
rnacentral:misc_RNA from 1 species